rnacentral:rRNA from 1 species
UACGGAGGAUCCAAGCGUUUAUCCGGAAUCAUUGGGUUUAAAGGGUCCGUAGGCGGUUUUGUAAGUCAGUGGUGAAAGCCCAUCGCUCAACGGUGGAACGGCCAUUGAUACUGCAAGACUUGAAUUACUAGGAAGUAACUAGAAUAUGUAGUGUAGCGGUGAAAUGCUUAGAUAUUACAUGGAAUACCAAUUGCGAAGGCAGGUUACUACUAGUGGAUUGACGCUGAUGGACGAAAGCGUGGGGGAGCGAACAGG